AUUUGAAAUCUGGCCCCUCUGGAGGUCCGAGUUGUAAUUUGCAGAGGACACUUCGGGUGCGGUCGCGGUCUAAGUCCCCUGGAACGGGGCGUCGCAGAGGGUGAGAAUCCCGUCUUGGACCGUGGGCCUGCCCCGUGUGAAGUUCCUUCGACGAGUCGAGUUGUUUGGGAAUGCAGCUCUAAGUGGGUGGUAAAUUUCAUCUAAAGCUAAAUACUGGCGGGAGACCGAUAGCGCACAAGUAGAGUGAUCGAAAGGUUAAAAGCACCUUGAAAAGGGAGUUAAAUAGCACGUGAAAUUGUUGAAAGGGAAGCGCUGGCAGCCAGACACGGACUCGGGGGCUCAGCGGGCAUGCGUGCCCGUGCACUCCCCCGCGGUCCGGGCCAGCAUCGGUUUCGGCGGCCGGUCAAAGGCCCCGGGAAGGUAUCAUCUCUCGGGAUGACUUACAGCCCGGGGUGCAAUGCGGCCAGCCGGGACCGAGGAACGCGCUCCGGCACGGAUGUUGGCGUAAUGGCUGUCAGCGGCCC
rnacentral:rRNA from 1 species